CUUUACUGUAGCCUGGUAUUGGGUUCGGGCUUUGACUGCGCAGGAUAGGUGGGAGACUAUGAAGCUGCCCUUGUGGGGGCAGUGGAGUCAUCAGUGAGAUACCACUCUGUCAAGGCUAGAAUUCUAACCGUCUGCCGUUAUCCGGCGACGGAACAGUAUCAGGUGGGCAGUUUGACUGGGGCGGUCGCCUCCUAAAUGGUACGGAGGCGCGCAAAGGUUCCCUCAGGCUGGUUGGAAAUCAGCCGAAGAGUGUAAAGGCAGAAGGGAGCUUGACUGCAAGAGCAACAACUCAAGCAGGGACGAAAGUCGGCCUUAGUGAUCCGACGGCGCUGAGUGGAAGGGCCGUCGCUCAACGGAUAAAAGUUA
rnacentral:rRNA from 1 species